GGCUUUUGGCUCAAUUCUGAAUAAACAGUGCACAUCCAUGUGGGAGCAAUGAGGAGGAACUGUAGCAUCUGAACUGGAAAUUCCCUGUCUCCCCUUAACCAGCACUGGAAGCAGAUGGGAAAAGAAUGGCUGUGACUGACUCACACUCUAACCCAGCAACCCUCAGCAUACAAGUGGGAGACCAUAAAGUUUUUCAAGACCCCAAAAGAGGCCAAAGGUCUGAUAAUUGCUGGGAGAAGGUCCACUAUCCAAGAAGAGAAGAGGAAAAGGAAUUAAAAUCU
rnacentral:lncRNA from 1 species